GAAGACAAUGAAUAGUGCAGGCUAUUUAUAGAUUUUUGGGGCACACGGCCAUGGAACACGUCUGUGUUCCCCAAUUUCAGCCCAUGUGAUUCACGAAUUUUGAAUUUGGGCGCUUCUGACAAUUGUCCCACGCCCGUGUUCCUUAGGCGUGUUGGUUCACACGGCCAUGUCACACGACUGUGUCUGGCUUUGUUCGCUUUUUCCACACCCGUGAAUGUAGCCCCA
rnacentral:lncRNA from 1 species